rnacentral:tRNA from 1 species
GAGAUGGCUUAGUGGUUAAGAGCACUGGUUUUUCUUCCAGAGGUCCUGAGUUCAAUUCCCAGCACUCA